rnacentral:rRNA from 1 species
GACGAACGCUGGCGGUGUGCUUAACACAUGCAAGUCGAACGGAAAGGCCCUGCUUUUGUGGGGUGCUCGAGUGGCGAACGGGUGAGUAACACGUGAGUAACCUGCCCUUGACUUUGGGAUAACUUCAGGAAACUGGGGCUAAUACCGGAUAGGAGCUCCUGCUGCAUGGUGGGGGUUGGAAAGUUUCGGCGGUUGGGGAUGGACUCGCGGCUUAUCAGCUUGUUGGUGGGGUAGUGGCUUACCAAGGCUUUGACGGGUAGCCGGCCUGAGAGGGUGAACGGCCACAUUGGGACUGAGAUACGGCCCAGACGCCUACGGGAGGCAGCAGUGGGGAAUAUUGCACAAUGGGCGGAAGCCUGAUGCAGCAACGCCGCGUGCGGGAUGACGGCCUUCGGGUUGUAAACCGCUUUCGCCUGUGACGAAGCGUGAGUGACGGUAAUGGGUAAAGAAGCACCGGCUAACUACGUG